rnacentral:lncRNA from 1 species
UUUGUCAGGUCAAAAACCAAAUGAACUGAUAUCCGAGAAGGCAGAGGGAUGAAGAAUGGGAGGCGGGGGCUGCAGGGAGAAAGGAGAGAGCUUAGUAUCUACAACAUAGUGAAAAACCAAGUGCAGUAAAAGGCCAGUGGGGCAGAUUCCAAAGCUGUAGCCUGGCUUAGCAGGAAAAUAAUAGUACAUGUGGGGAAAGGAACUAGUAGUGAGAGGGUUGUCCUUCAAGGAAAACACAGGAAACCUGAGGGCAUCAUAUGACCAGACUUGGCUCUGCUCCAAAUAUCCCUUCUAGGUCCAGGAACUCUUUUACUCUGAUUGGGAAUGUCAGUCCCACAUGUCUAUUCUUUCUUCAGGGGCAAAAAAGACCUCCCUCGAGGGAAACAGUCAGCACCAAGAUAUGGGGAGGACACCACUGUCUAUGAGAACACUGUUCACCUAAAAGGCUUGGCUCUGCCUGCACAGGGCCUGGACUCUUCCUCUACUUCCCCUGAAAUCUCAUCUGAGAGUCCCUAUCAGAUGUUGGACAUCACCAGAGUGGAUGUUUAUGAAAAGAUCACUCCCUGGAAGAACCCUCAAGUCUGAGGCAGAGCGAGAAGUCACUAGGGAUGUUGUGAUAGUCCUUCUGAUUUACUUCAUUAAGGGGGAUUGAGAGGUAUCUUUUGGGAGAAAAAGUUGAGAGAUCUACAUCAGUGAGAAAACCAAUCAGGAGAGAUGUGUGAUCAAAUUGGAAGGUAUCCCAAUGAUGUCAAGGGCAGAAAGAAAGGAGCCAUAAGUAUAUGACUAUGUAUAGCAGCAGUGUUUAUUUUAGCUAGAAGUUAGAAAAAACUGGGCAUUCCUCCAUUGGGACAUGUCUUAAUAAACUGUGACGUAUGAAUAUCA